rnacentral:rRNA from 1 species
UACAGAGGUCUCAAGCGUUGUUCGGAUUCAUUGGGCGUAAAGGGUGCGUAGGCGGCGCGGUAAGUCGGGUGUGAAAUCUCGGAGCUUAACUCCGAAAACUGCAUUCGAUACUGCCGUGCUUGAGGACUGGAGAGGAGACUGGAAUUUACGGUGUAGCGGUGAAAUGCGUAGAUAUCGUAAGGAAGACCAGUGGCGAAGGCGGGUCUCUGGACAGUU